rnacentral:lncRNA from 1 species
UCUUGUAGAACUCUUUUUGCUUUUCUGAAAGUGAGCACAAAAGAACACUCAUUCAAUCUUACUUCAAGCCUAAUCUGAUUAGAAAACACAAACUGUGAAACUAUACACCAUUAAAGGAACUCCAAAUAGUUCUCUUCUGAUGCCUAACACCAAAGGAAACAUAAUCAAUAACCACAUCGAAGCAUUCUUAUUCUUAACAUCAGCCUAAUCUUA